rnacentral:rRNA from 1 species
AGUGGCGGACGGGUGAGUAACACGUAAGAAUUUGCCUUUAGGAGGGGGACAACAACUGGAAACGGUUGCUAAUACCCCAUAUGCUUUCGAGUGAAAUGGAUUUCCGCCUAAAGAGAAGCUUGCGGCUGAUUAGCUUGUUGGUGAGGUAAUGGCUCACCAAGGCGACGAUCAGUAUCUGGUUUGAGAGGACGAUCAGACACACUGGAACUGAGACACGGUCCAGACUCCUACGGGAGGCAGCAGUGGGGAAUUUUCCGCAAUGGGCGAAAGCCUGACGGAGCAAUACCGCGUGAGGGAUGAAGGCCUAUGGGUUGUAAACCUCUUUUUUCAGGGAGGAAUAAAUGACGUGUACCUGAAGAAUAAGCAUCGGCUAACUCCGUGCCAGCAGCCGCGGUAAGACGGGGGAUGCAAGUGUUAUCCGGAAUCACUGGGCGUAAAGCGUCUGUAGGUGGUUAAGUAAGUCAACUGUUAAAUCUUGAGGCUCAACCUCAAAAUCGCAGUCGAAACUGCUUGACUAGAGUAUGGUAGGGGUAAAGGGAAUUUCCAGUGGAGCGGUGAAAUGCGUAGAUAUUGGAAAGAACACCGAUGGCGAAGGCACUUUACUGGGCUAUUACUAACACUGAGAGACGAAAGCUAGGGUAGCAAAUGGGAUUAGAUACCCCAGUAGUCCUAGCUGUAAACAAUGGAUACUAGAUGUUGA